UGAAAGCUAUAUUGCGCUGCAGGAGAGCUUUGCGUCCUAUUAGCUAGUUGGUGAGGUAACGGCUCACCAAGGCGAUGAUAGUUAGCCGGCCUGAGAGGGUGAACGGCCACAAGGGGACUGAGACACGGCCCUUACUCCUACGGGAGGCAGCAGUGGGGAAUAUUGGACAAUGGACCAAAAGUCUGAUCCAGCAAUUCUGUGUGCACGAUGAAGUUUUUCGGAAUGUAAAGCGCUUUCAGUUGGGACGAAGUAAGUGACGGUACCAACAGAAGAAGCGACGGCUAAAUACGUGCCAGCAGCCGCGGUAAUACGUAUGUCGCAAGCGUUAUCCGGAUUUAUUGGGCGUAAAGCGCGUCUAGGCGGUUUGGUAAGUCUGAUGUGAAAAUGCGGGGCUCAACUCCGUAUUGCGUUGGAAACUGCCAAACUAGAGUACUGGAGAGGUGGGCGGAACUACAAGUGUAGAGGUGAAAUUCGUAGAUAUUUGUAGGAAUGCCGAUGGGGAAGCCAGCCCACUGGACAGAUACUGACGCUAAAGCGCGAAAGCGUGGGUAGCAAACAGGAUUAGAUACCCUGGUAGUCCACGCCGUAAACGAUGAUUACUAGGUGUUGGGGGUCGAACCUCAGCGCCCAAGCUAACGCGAUAAGUAAUCCGCCUGGGGAGUACGUACGCAAGUAUGAAACUCAAAGGAAUUGACGGGGACCCGCACAAGCGGUGGAGCAUGUGGUUUAAUUCGACGCAACGCGAGGAACCUUACCAGCGUUUGACAUCCUAAGAAAUUAGCAGAGAUGCUUUUGUGCCCCUUCGGGGGAACUUAUUGACACGU
rnacentral:rRNA from 1 species